rnacentral:lncRNA from 1 species
UCUGGUGUGAGGAGUCCCUCUCCCUUCUCCUAAACUCUUCUACAAAACAGGGGUUUCCAACUUCCGGGAUAAGGACCUGUACCAACUCAUGGCCUGUUAGGAAAUGGGCCACACAGCAGAAGCUCUCCAGGAACACAUCUUUGAAGACAAAAUGCCUCCAAGAUCCCCAGUACUGUAGCUCUUCUCCUGAAGCAACUAUUUCCAGCCUUGAAAGUUAUCAGCUCAGGAGAGGAAGCACUGCAAGCAGCUCCUGGGCCCUGGGGUAUGGUUGCAGAUUCAUCACCUAGCUACUUGUUUGUGGUGUUAUCAUCUUUUUUUCCCUGACAUAUUUUGGAACUUGACUACAUCUGAUAUAUUUCUCAACAGGCAACCAUGAAAGUCUAGGAUGGGAGAAGGCAGAUCUUCUACUUGCCUGCUUCCCUGAAGAACUGCUUGAAACAGAGCCCAACCUUUCCCUCAUCUAAAAAUCCUUGAAAUAUUCAGUUGAAAAAAAUACAAACUUCUACUAAAAAAAUAAAAAACCUUCUGUUGUGUUGGGGUCAUUGACUUCUUUGGGUUCAUAUGUUAUAGCAGUUAGCCAACCUCCCUAAUACAAAGGCUAAAAUAGGAACCAUUGAAAUUUAAAGCAAAUUUAUAUUUUACUUUGAAGGAUAUAGCAAGGAAUUAGACUGACUCUUUUGUAGAAAAUAUUGUUCAUUUAUAACCAUGAAGAGAAGUUAUUUUCUCUUACCUCUUUUCCUAAA